rnacentral:lncRNA from 1 species
GUGACUGCCGGGGGGCAGGGGGGGCCUUGUGACUCCUUGGCGGGCCGGCUGGAAAAGUUUGAAAGUUGGAACCGGCCUGGGCCUAAAAAUGGGAAAUUUUUCCUGCAUUUCUCACGUUCAGCCUACUUAUUUUGCUCCGUUCCCUCCUGUUGCCAAGUCUCCUUUGGUCUUCUUUGUCUUGCUCAAGAGCCUGGUACUGAGGUGGAACUUUGCAAGUGUCUUAACAAGAUCUAAUAAGCUUGGAAACUGAAAGGGGAAAUGAGGAUAUUCCCUUCUGGCUGUAAUCAUGGUGUGAGGGAGGUGGAGACUCUACAAAGGAAGGCUCCUCAGCCUGGAGGUUUGCAGGUUUCUCCCUCAAAAGAUCCUGCUCCAUAGUACUGAGAAAACACAGUGGCCGUUGUGUGGGAGACCACCACAGCUGCCUCAAGGGAAGCCAACACAGUCAUAGUUCCUGAGCUCAUUGGGAUCGGAUGUUUACAGAAGUCUCCCACAGAAGAUGAACUUACCACCGUAAGUCACCAAAUAUCUAAGAAGUGCCUAUAGCAUGAGAGAAAAAAGGAAAUCGAACAAAUUAAAGGCCCUAUAUCAGAGAAAACAUAAUAGAACAAUCCAACGUUCAUUUCUGUAUCUUUAUUUGGGGCCGUGGUAGGCUGAAUAAUGGCACCCCAAAGUUAUCCAUGUCCUAAUCCUUGAGCUCUGUGAAUAUGUUACCUCACAUGGCAAGGUGGGUUCAAGGUUGCAGAUAGAGUUAAGGUUGCUAAUCAGGUGACCUUAAAAUAGGGAGAGUUUCUGAAAAGAAGACAGAAUGGGAGAAAAUAGUUGCAACCAAUGCAACCAAUAUGAAAUUAAUUUCUAAAAUAUAUAAACAGUUUAUACAGCUUAGUAUUUAAAAAAAAAAUCAAAACUGGGCAGAAGACCUAAAUAGACAUUUAUCCAAAGAAGACAUACAGAUGGCCAAAAGGUACCUGAAAAAAUGCUCAGCAUAGCUAAUUAUUAGAGAAAUGGAAAUCAAAACUACAGUAAGUUAUCCCCUCACACAGGUCAAAAUGGCCAUUAUCAAAAAGUCUACAAGUAAUAAAUGCUGGAGAGGGUGUGGAGAAAAGGGAAGCCUCGUACACUGUGGUGGGAAUGUAAGUUGUUGCAGCCACUAUAGAAAAUAGUACAGAGGUUCCUUAAAAAACUGAAAAUAGAGUUACAGUGCCACUCCUGGGUAUAUAUCCAAAAAAGGCGAAGACUCCAAUUUGAAAAGAUACAUGCACCUGAAUGUUCAUGGUACCGCUAUUCACAGUAGCCAAGACAUGGAAGCAACCUAGGUGUCCAUGAGAGAUGAAUGAAUCAAGAUGUGGUGUUCAUACACAAUGGAAUAUUACUGAGUCAUAAAAAAUGAAUGAAAUCAUGCCAUUUGCAGCAGCAUGGCUAGAUCUAGAGAUUAUCAUACUAAGACAGAGAAAUACAAAUACAUGAUAUCACUUAUAUGAGGAGUCUUUAAAAAUGAUGCAAAUGAACUUAUAAAUAAGAAACCUUUGGUUACCAAAGGGGAACUUGGGAGGAAGGGAUAAGUUAGGAAUUUGGGGUUAACAGAUAUACUACUAUAUAUAAAAUAGAUACACAACAAGGACCUAUUGGAUAGUAUAGGGAACUAUAUUCAAUAUCUUGUAAUAACCUAUAAUGGAAAAGAAUCUGUGAAAGAAUAUGCGUAUAUAUAUUAUAUAACUGAGUCAUUUUGCUGUACAUCUGUAACUUAAAUCCACUAUACUUCAAU